GCAUCAAUGGAGUAGUGGCAACUUGGGUCAUUGCCAUCUUGCACUAGGUAGUAUACGUAGGUCCUACUGACCCGCCAGGGGUUCGAUUCCCAUUGAUGCA